GACGAACGCUGGCGGCGUGCUUAACACAUGCAAGUCGAACGGAGUGGCAAGCGGGUGAGUAACACGUAAACAACCUGCCUUCAGGAUGGGGACAACAGACGGAAACGAAUGCUAAUACCGAAUACCUGCAGAAGGGUUUGCGGCUGAUUAGGCAGUUGGUUGGGUAACGGCCCACCAAACCAACGAUCAGUAGCCGGUCUGAGAGGAUGAACGGCCAGACUGGAACUGAGACACGGUCCAGACUCCUACGGGAGGAAGCAGUGGGGAAUAUUGCACAAUGGGCGCAAGCCUGAUGCAGCCAUGCCGCGUGUGUGAAGAAGGCCUUCGGGUUGUAAAGCACUUUCAGCGGGGAGGCGUUACCCGCAGAAGAAGCACCGGCUAACUCCGUGCCAGCAGCCGCGGUAAUAC
rnacentral:rRNA from 1 species